CGCAUUAUGAACCGUACCCUAAACCGACACAGGUGGACUGGUAGAGUAUACCAAGGCGCUUGAGAGAAUGGUGUCGAAGGAACUCGGCAAUCUGCCCUCGUAACUUCGGGAGAAGAGGGCCCUGUUCUUGCGCAAGCAGGAUCAGGGGGCACAGAAGAGUGGGUGGCGACUGUUUAUCAAAAACACAGGGCUCUGCGAAGUCAAUCAAGACGACGUAUAGGGUCUGACGCCUGCCCGGUGCCGGAAGGUUAAGAGGAGAUGUGCAAGCAUUGAAUCGAAGCCCCGGUAAACGGCGGCCGUAACGAUAACGGUCCUAAGGUAGCGAAAUUCCUUGUCGGGUAAGUUCCGACCUGCACGAAGGCGUAACGACUUCCCAGCUGUCUCCGGCACCAGCUCAGCGAAAUUGAAUUCUCCGUGAAGAUGCGGAGUACCCGCAGUUAGACGGAAAGACCCCGUGCACCUUUACUAUAGCUUUGCAGUGGCGUUAGGGAUUGAAUGUGUAGAAUAGGCGGGAGGCUUUGAAGCUUGGGCGCCAGCCCGAGUGGAGCCACAACGUGAAAUACCGCCCUUGCGGUUCCUGACGUCUAACCGAGACCCGUUUACCGGGUCCGGGACCCUGCAUGGUGGGUAGUUUGACUGGGGCGGUCGCCUCCUAAAGAGUAACGGAGGCGCGCGAUGGUGGGCUCAAGCUGGUCGGAAAUCAGCUGUCGAGUGCAAUGGCAUAAGCCCGCCUGACUGCGAGACUGACAAGUCGAGCAGAGACGAAAGUCGGUCAUAGUGAUCCGGUGGUUCCGCAUGGAAGGGCCAUCGCUCAACGAAUAAAAGGUACGCCGGGGAUAACAGGCUGAUCUCCCCCAAGAGUCCCCAUCGACGGGGAGGUUUGGCACCUCGAUGUCGGCUCAUCGCAUCCUGGGGCCGGAGCAGGUCCCAAGGGUUUGGCUGUUCGCCAAUUAAAGCGGUACGUGAGCUGGGUUCAGAACGUCGUGAGACAGUUCGGUCCCUAUCUGCUGUGGGUGUUGGAAUGUUGCGAGGACUUUUCCCUAGUACGAGAGGACCGGGAAGAACGUACCUCUGAUGUGCCGGUUGUCGCGCCAGCGGCAUCGCCGGGUAGUCAACGUACGGACGAGAUAACCGCUGAAAGCAUCUAAGCGGGAAGCUCCCCUCUAAACAAGCAUUCCCUAUCAGAGCCGUGGAAGACCACCACGUCGAUAGGCCAGGUGUGGAAGCAGGGUAACCUGCGAAGCUGACUGGUACUAAUAGCUCGAUCGACCAA
rnacentral:rRNA from 1 species